CCUACGGGCGGCAGCAGUGGGGAAUAUUGCACAAUGGGGGAAACCCUGAUGCAGCGACGCCGCGUGAGCGAUGAAGUAUUUCCGUAUGUUAAGCUCUAUUAGCACGGAAGAAGAUGACGGUACCUGACUAAGAAGCCCCGGCUAACUACGUGCCAGCCGCCGCGGUAAUACGGAGGGGGCAAGCGUUAUCCGGAUUUACUGGGUGUAAAGGGAGCGUAGACGGCGAUGCAAGCGAGAUGUGAAAGCCCGGGGCUCAACCCCGGGACUGCAUUUGGAACUGUGUGGCUGGAGUGUCGGAGAGGCAGGCGGAAUUCCUAGUGUAGCGGUGAAAUGCGUAGAUAUUAGGAGGAACACCAGUGGCGAAGGCAGCCUGCUGGACGAUGACUGACGUUGAGGCUCGAAAGCGUGGGGAGCAAACAGGAUUAGAUACCCGGGUAGUC
rnacentral:rRNA from 1 species